rnacentral:rRNA from 1 species
CGGCGGACGGGUGAGUAACACGUGGAUAACCUACCUAUAAGACUGGGAUAACUUCGGGAAACCGGAGCUAAUACCGGAUAAUAUAUUGAACCGCAUGGUUCAAUAGUGAAAGACGGUUUUGCUGUCACUUAUAGAUGGAUCCGCGCCGCAUUAGCUAGUUGGUAAGGUAACGGCCUACCAAGGCAACGAUGCGUAGCCGACCUGAGAGGGUGAUCGGCCACACUGGAACUGAGACACGGUCCAGACUCCUACGGGAGGCAGCAGCC